CCUACGGGUGGCAGCAGUCGAGAAUCAUUCACAAUGGGGGAAACCCUGAUGGUGCGACGCCGCGUGGGGGAAUGAAGGUCUUCGGAUUGUAAACCCCUGUCAUGUGGGAGCAAAUUAAAAAGAUAGUACCACAAGAGGAAGAGACGGCUAACUCUGUGCCAGCAGCCGCGGUAAUACAGAGGUCUCAAGCGUUGUUCGGAAUCACUGGGCGUAAAGCGUGCGUAGGCUGUUUCGUAAGUCGUGUGUGAAAGGCGCGGGCUCAACCCGCGGACGGCACAUGAUACUGCGAGACUAGAGUAAGGGAGGGGGAACCGGAAUUCUCGGUGUAGCAGUGAAAUGCGUAGAUAUCGAGAGGAACACUCGUGGCGAAGGCGGGUUCCUGGACAUUAACUGACGCUGAGGCACGAAGGCCAGGGGAGCGAAAGGGAUUAGAUACCCCUGGUAGUC
rnacentral:rRNA from 1 species